UACGCGUAGGUAACCUGCCUACUAGCGGGGGAUAACUAUUGGAAACGAUAGCUAAUACCGCAUAACAGCAUUUAACCCAUGUUAGAUGCUUGAAAGGAGCAAUUGCUUCACUAGUAGAUGGACCUGCGUUGUAUUAGCUAGUUGGUGAGGUAACGGCUCACCAAGGCGACGAUACAUAGCCGACCUGAGAGGGUGAUCGGCCACACUGGGACUGAGACACGGCCCAGACUCCUACGGGAGGCAGCAGUAGGGAAUCUUCGGCAAUGGGGGCAACCCUGACCGAGCAACGCCGCGUGAGUGAAGAAGGUUUUCGGAUCGUAAAGCUCUGUUGUAAGAGAAGAACGUGUGUGAGAGUGGAAAGUUCACACAGUGACGGUAACUUACCAGAAAGGGACGGCUAACUACGUGCCAGCAGCCGCGGUAAUACGUAGGUCCCGAGCGUUGUCCGGAUUUAUUGGGCGUAAAGCGAGCGCAGGCGGUUUAAUAAGUCUGAAGUUAAAGGCAGUGGCUUAACCAUUGUUCGCUUUGGAAACUGUUAGACUUGAGUGCAGAAGGGGAGAGUGGAAUUCCAUGUGUAGCGGUGAAAUGCGUAGAUAUAUGGAGGAACACCGGUGGCGAAAGCGGCUCUCUGGUCUGUAACUGACGCUGAGGCUCGAAAGCGU
rnacentral:rRNA from 1 species